GAUGAACGCUGACAGAAUGCUUAACACAUGCAAGUCUACUUGAACUUCGGUUUGGGUGGCGGACGGGUGAGUAACGCGUAAAGAACUUGCCUCACAGACUGGGACAACAUUUGGAAACGAAUGCUAAUACCGGAUAUUAUGAGAUAUGCGCAUGCAUAACUUAUGAAAGCUAUAUGCGCUGUGAGAGAGCUUUGCGUCCCAUUAGCUAGUUGGAGAGGUAACGGCUCACCAAGGCGAUGAUGGGUAGCCGGCCUGAGAGGGUGAACGGGCCACAAGGGGGACUGAGACACGGGCCCUUACUCCUACGGGAGGCAGCAGUGGGGAAUAUUGGACAAUGGGACCAAGAGUCUGAUCCAGCAAUUCUGUGUGCACGAUGAAGUUUUUUCGGAAUGUAAAGUGCUUUCAGUUUGGGAAGAAGAAAGUGACGGGUACCAACAGAAGAAGCGACGGGCUAAAAUACGU
rnacentral:rRNA from 1 species